CUGUAUGUCUUUGGGAGGAGACACCUAAGCAUUAAAUCAGGACAAGGACUCAGCAGAAGUUAAAGUGGUGCCAUGCCAGGGAGUGCUUUCAUCUCAACAGAUGCCAUAGAUGGGUUCCUAGGAAGAAGACCAGAUCAAGCACAAUACACUACAGAGAGAAGAAAAGAGCAAUGAAGGACACAUAGAUAUGUCAGCCUCCCCUGCACCUAGAUGCCACCUUUGGAAGGUGGAGUGGGGUUGGGGGUUGGUUCUCACUAAAAAAAGUGAGGAACUUACAGUUGACUGAAUUAACCUAAAGGAAAUGAUUUUAAUUUGGAAAAUACGUUUGUUUUUUUUUUCCUCCUAUACUUUAAUCAGGGUUCUAGAGAAAGAUGAGAUGAGUUAGACAUUAUAGCAAAAGGUGUAGUGUAUAUCUGGAUUAUUGCACAUGUAUUUCAAUCCUACUACAAGUAUUAAUGCUUAAAAUACCCAACAGUAUCUGAAAGUGAAUGUUGAAAUUCGCUUCUGCUUAACGUUUUUGCUAUUUUAGUUGGCGACUGUAUAAAAAAGAAGCCAUUGAUUCCAGAACUUUCGUAACUUCUGAAUUUCUUCUUGACUAGGUAGGUGGAGCAAUUUAAACUGUUCAAGAGAAAUCCAACUGGCCUCCAUGAGUACUUGUGAAAGAACUUGGAACUGCCACUGGAGGUCAGCGAGCAUCAUGUGGAAGGUGUUGGAAGAAGGGAGAAGACGCCUGUUGCCAGUCCUCAAAGGAGUCAUGGCUUUGAAAGAAUUACCUUAUUGA
rnacentral:lncRNA from 1 species